rnacentral:rRNA from 1 species
UAAGGAAUAUUGGACAAUGGAGGCAACUCUGAUCCAGCCAUGCCGCGUGAAGGAAUAAGGCCCUAUGGGUUGUGAACUUCUUUUAGACGGGACAAAACCCCUUUACGUGUAAAGGGUUGAUGGUACUGUCAGAAUAAGCAUCGGCUAACUUCGUGCAAGCAGCCGCGGUAAUACGAAGGAUGCAAGCGUUAUCCGGAAUUAUUGGGUUUAAAGGGUGCGUAGGCGGACUAAUAAGUCAGUGGUGAAAGCCUGCAGCUUAACUGCAGAAUUGCCAUUGAUACUGUUAGCCUUGAGUACAGUUGAGGUAGGCGGAAUGUGUCAUGUAGCGGUGAAAUGCUUAGAUAUGACACAGAACACCGAUUGCGAAGGCAGCUUGCUAGGCUGUAACUGACGCUGAGGCACGAAAGCGUGGGGAGCAAACA